rnacentral:rRNA from 1 species
UGAACCUGCGGAGGGAUCAUUACCGAGCGAGGGCUCCGGCCCGACCUCCAACCCCAUGUUUUCCGACUCUGUUGCCUCGGGGGCGACCCGGCCUUCGGGCGUCGGGGCCCCCGGUGGUCCACGUCAACACUGCAUCUGUGCGUCUGAGUAACAAAUAAAUCAAUUAAAACUUUCAACAACGGAUCUCUUGGUUCUGGCAUCGAUGAAGAACGCAGCGAAAUGCGAUAAGUAAUGUGAAUUGCAGAAUUCAGUGAAUCAUCGAAUCUUUGAACGCACAUUGCGCCCCUCGGUAUUCCGGGGGGCAUGCCUGUUCGAGCGUCAUUACACCAAUCAAGCCUAGCUUGGUCUUGGGCGUCGCGGUUCCGCCGCGCGCCCUAAUGUCUCCGGCUGAGCCCUCUGUCUCGAAGCGUUGUGAUUAUCAAAUCGCUUACGGGGCCGGGUGGCUCACUCGCCGCUAAACCUUUAUCCUAUCAGGUUGACCUCGGAUCAGGUAGGAAUACCCG